rnacentral:rRNA from 1 species
CAUAAGCGAUGGGGGCUAUAAUGCAGUCGACGCGUUGGCCCAAUUGAUUGAUGGUGCUUGCACCUGAUUGAUUUUGGUCGCCAACGAGUGGCGGACGGGUGAGUAACACGUAGGUAACCUGCCCAGAAGCGGGGGACAACAUUUGGAAACAGAUGCUAAUACCGCAUAACAACGUUGUUCGCAUGAACAACGCUUAAAAGAUGGCUUCUCGCUAUCACUUCUGGAUGGACCUGCGGUGCAUUAGCUUGUUGGUGGGGUAACGGCCUACCAAGGCGAUGAUGCAUAGCCGAGUUGAGAGACUGAUCGGCCACAAUGGGACUGAGACACGGCCCAUACUCCUACGGGAGGCAGCAGUAGGGAAUCUUCCACAAUGGGCGCAAGCCUGAUGGAGCAACACCGCGUGAGUGAAGAAGGGUUUCGGCUCGUAAAGCUCUGUUGUUAAAGAAGAACACGUAUGAGAGUAACUGUUCAUACGUUGACGGUAUUUAACCAGAAAGUCACGGCUAACUACGUGCCAGCAGCCGCGGUAAUACGUAGGUGGCAAGCGUUAUCCGGAUUUAUUGGGCGUAAAGAGAGUGCAGGCGGUUUUCUAAGUCUGAUGUGAAAGCCUUCGGCUUAACCGGAGAAGUGCAUCGGAAACUGGAUAACUUGAGUGCAGAAGAGGGUAGUGGAACUCCAUGUGUAGCGGUGGAAUGCGUAGAUAUAUGGAAGAACACCAGUGGCGAAGGCGGCUACCUGGUCUGCAACUGACGCUGAGACUCGAAAGCAUGGGUAGCGAACAGGAUUAGAUACCCUGGUAGUCCAUGCCGUAACGAUGAGUGCUAGGUGUUGGAGGGUUUCCGCCCUUCAGUGCCGGAGCUAACGCAUUAAGCACUCCGCCUGGGGAGUACGACCGCAAGGUUGAAACUCAAAGGAAUUGACGGGGGGCCCGCACAAGCGGUGGAGCAUGUGGGUUUAAUUCGAAGCUACGCGAAAGAACCCUUACCAGGUCUUGACAUCUUUGCGCCCAACCCUAGAGAUAGGGCGUUUCCCUUCGGGAACGCAAAUGACAGGUGGUGCAUGGAUCGUCGUCAGCUCGUGUCGUG